GCCACUCAGAUUACAGUACAAGAGGGUUCCCAUCUACCCGGCUGUCCUUCCAGCUUUGGGAACAAAACAAGCCAACAGGCACCAGAGAUAGGACCCAUCGCCACAGGCUGCUUAGACUGAACGUCCACACUGGAGCAGCUGUCCCAUCAGGUGCCACUGUGCAUCACCAUCGGGGACUGAUGCCCAGUACCCAGGAGAGGUGACCUGAGACAGUAAGGCCUCUGCUGAUUUGGAUCAAAGGCUGACCUAGCAUAUUGAGGGCAAAAGGCAGGUGUUUUUCCUGCAUCGGUGUCUGGGCACCAUGUGCAUACAGUGCCUGUAGAGGCAGAAGAGGGUAACCGGCCCCUGGAGCUGGAGUUACAGAAGUUGUGGGUGGUCAAUCAGUGCUGGAAACUAACCCAAGUCCUCCACAAGAGCAACCAUCUUAGCCUUGAAGCUGUUUCUCCAGCCCAUUCCUUUCCCACCCUGAGGAUAAAGAUACAAGACAGGGGCCAACAGCAUUGCUCAGUGAGUAGAGAUAUUUGCUGCCAACCUGGUUUGCUCCCAAGGAUGCACUUGGUGGAAGGAAAAGAACAGACUGCUAUGGGCUUUUCUUUGACCUCCACAGGGACAC